UGGGAAAGGGGGGAUCUGCAGGCUCCAGGUUCCGAGCUGUCAGCACAGAGCCUGACACGGGGCUCGAACCCACACACCGCGAGAUCGUGACCUGAGCCGAAGUCGGACCCUUAGCAGAUUGAGCCACUCCAGCGCCCCCACAGGGAGUGCUU